GGUGAACGCUGGCGGCGUGCCUAAUACAUGCAAGUCGAGCGAACGGACGAUAAGCUUUCUUCUCUGAUGUUAGCGGCUGACGGGUGAGUAACACGUAGAUAACCUUCCUCUUAUACUUGGAUAACUUCGUGAAAACGGAUCUAAUACCACCUAAUAUUUUGAACGGCAUGGUUCAAAGGUUAAUGGCGGUUUUCCUGUCACUUUUAGAUGGAGCCGCGCUGCAUUAGCUAGUUGGUAAGGUAACGGCUCACCAAGGCAACGAUGCAUAGCCGACCUGAUAGGGUGAUCGGCCACACUGGAACUGAGACACGGUCCAGACUCCUACGGGAGGCAGCAGUAGGGAAUCUUCCGCAAUGGGCGAAAGCCUGACCGAGCAAUGCCGCGUGAGUGAUGAAGGUCUUCGGAUCGUAAAACUCUGUUAUUAGGGAAGAAAAUAUGUGUAAGUAACUGCGCACGUCCUGACGGUACCUAAACAGAAAGCAACGGCUAACUACGUG
rnacentral:rRNA from 1 species